GACGAACGCUGGCGGCGUGCUUAACACAUGCAAGUCGAACGGAAAGGCCCUGCUUGCAGGGUACUCGAGUGGCGAACGGGUGAGUAACACGUGGGUGAUCUGCCCUGCACUUGGGGAUAAGCCUGGGAAACUGGGUCUAAUACCGGAUAGGAGCCAUUGAUAGUGUGAUGGUUAGAAAGUUUUUUCGGUGUAGGAUGAGCUCGCGGCCUAUCAGCUUGUUGGUGGGGUAAUGGCCUACCAAGGCGGCGACGGGUAGCCGGCCUGAGAGGGUGGACGGCCACAUUGGGACUGAGAGACGGCCGAGACGCCUACGGGAGGCAGCAGUGGGGAAGAUUGCACCAUGGGCGCAAGCCUGAUGCAGCGACGCCGCGUGGGGGAUGACGGCCUUCGGGUUGUAAACUCCUUUCGCUAGGGACGAAGCUUUUUGUGACGGUACCUAGAGAAGAAGCACCGGCUAACUACGUG
rnacentral:rRNA from 1 species